rnacentral:lncRNA from 1 species
GCAUACACUCCCAUAUACUUUAAAUCAUCUCUAGAUAACUUAUAAUACCUAAUUCAAUGUAAAUGCUAUGUAAAUAGUUGUAAUAUUACAUUGUCUGGGAAAUUAUGACAAGGAAAAAAGGUCUGUGCAAAUUUGCUACAGACACAAUUUUAUUUUUUAAUAUUUUCCAUCUAUGGUUGAUUGAAUCCACAGAUAUGUAGGGCUGACUGUACAGCAUAUUUGGCUAUCAAGAAAAAAUUACAAGCCAUACCAAAAUGCAAUAAAACAUAGUUUAAAGAAACAAAGAAAGCAUCAGAACCAGACAGUGUAGGGAUGUUGGCAUUAUGAGACCAGGAAUUUAAAACAACUAUGAUCAAUAUGCUAGGGCUUUAAUAGAUAAAGUAAAGAACAUGAAAGAACAGGUAGGCAGUAUAAGCAGAGAAAUGGAAAAUCCUAAGGAGAAAGAAAUGCUAGAGAUCAAAAACUUAGUAACAGAAAUAAAGAACGCUCAUUGUUGGGCUCAUUAGUAGACUAGACACAGCUGAGGAAAGAGUCUCUGAAGUUAAGGAAAUCUAAAUAAAAACCUCUAAAACUGAAAAGCAAGAAGAACAAAGACUAAAAAAACAACAGAAUAGUAUCUCCAGGAACUGGAAAAACUACAAAGGUAUAACAUAUACGUAAUGAAAAUACAAGAAGAAAAAAAAUAAAGAGAGAAAGGAACAGAAGAAAUAUUUGAACCAAUAAUGACUGAGAAUUUUUCCCAAAUUAAUACCAGAGACCAAACCACAGAUCCAGGAAGUUCAGAGAAAACCAAGCAGAAUAAGUGCAAAAAAAAAAAAAAAAAAAAAAAAGUAAAAAGUAAAAGAAAAAAAGGAAGGAAGGGAGAAAGGGAGGGAGGGAGGGAGGGCAUAUCUAGGCAUAUUAUUUUCAAACUAUAGAAAAUAAACUAUAAAGAAAAAAAUCCUGAAAGAACCCAGAGGGGAAAAAUACCUUACCUACAAAGGAAUAAAUGUGAGAAUUACAUCUGAUUUCUACUCAGAAACCAUGCAAACAAAAAGAUAGUAGAGUAACAUAUUUAGAGUAUUGAGAGAAAACAAAAGAAAACCUACACCAACCUAGAAUUCUGUAGCCUGUGAAAUUAUUCUUCAAGAGAAGGAUAAAUUAAGAUUUUCUCCGACAAACACGCGCUGAGAAAAUCUGUUGCAACUAAACCUUUUUUGGAAGUAUAUUAGAAGUUUUUUAGAGAGAAGGGAAACAAUACAGGACAGAAAGCCAGAUGUACAUAAAGAGUGAGCAUUGGAGAAGGGACAAGUAAAGGUAUAGUAAAAACUUAUUUUUCUUCUUAAUUGAUCUAACAGAUAAUAGUUUGUUCAAAUUAGUGAUAACAAUGUAUCUGAUUAGGUAUGUAUGUAAUACACACACACAUUCUUAUGUAUGCAUAUACAUAUAUAUAUAUGUAUAUAUUAAAUAAAAAACAGCAAUGAUCCAGGUAUGGGAGGGAGGAAGUAGGAUUAUUUUGUUAUUAUAAAGUAUUCACAGUAUCUAUGAAGUGACCCGGUGUUACUUAAAAGUGGAUUUGGAUUAGUUGUAAGUGUAUAUUGUAAACUUUAGGGCAACCGCAAAAAAAGUAAAAAAGUAAGUAUGCUAAGAAAUGCUAAUAAAUGAGAGAAAAUUGAAUCAUAUAAAAUGCUUAACUUAAACCACAAAAGAAAGAUAAAGAGUGGAAGAGAAAAAGGAAAACACAAACAAGAGCAGCAAAUAGAAAACAGUAACAAAUAUGAUAGAUAUUAACCUACUAUAUCAGUAAUUAUUUUGGAAAUCAAUGGUCCAAAUGCACCAAUUACAAGAUAGAUUGUCAGAGUAUGUUUACAAAAAAAAAAGACUCCCCAACUGCAUAUUGUCUGCAAGAAACCCAUUUUAUAUAUAGAAAUACAGAGAGAAUAAAAGUAAAUGGAUGGAGAAAGAUGUAGCAUGCUAACACCAAUCAAAAGGAAGCAGAAAUAGCAAUAGUAAUUUCAGACAAAGCCAAUUUCAAACCAAGGAAAUUUGUCAGAGAUAAAUAGAAACAUGACAUAGUAAAAGGUAAAUUCUCCAGAACAACGUAACAAUUCUUAGUGUGUAUGCACCUAACAGCACAGCAUCAAAAUACAUAAGCUAAAAACUGAUAGAACUGCAAGAAGAAAUAGACACAUCUGUUCAUAUGGCUGGAAAUGUCAAUACCUCUCUAUAAUAAAUGGACAAAUUCAGCCAGUAGAAAAUCAGUAAAGACAUACUUGAACUCAACAACACUAUCAAUCAGCAAGAUAUUAUUGAUCUCUAUAGACUCCUUCAUCCCACAACAGCAGAAUACACAUUCUUCUCAAGCUCACAUGGGACACUCCCCAAAACAGACUACAUUCUGGGCCAUAAAACACACAUUAACAAAUUUAAAACAAUAGAAAUCAUCAUACAUUUUUUUUUGCAAACCAAAAUAGAAUUAAACUAGAAAUCAAUAACAAAGACAGUUGGAAUAUUCCAGAAUACUUGGAGAAUAAACAGCACACUUAUAAAUAACACAAGAGUCAAAAAAGAAAUCUCAAGGGAGAUUUUUAAAUAUUUUGAACUGAAGAAACAAAAAACGCAACUUAUCAACAUUUGUGAAAUUCAGCAAAAGCAGUGCUUAGAGGGAAAUUUAUAGCAUUGAAUGCAUAUAUUAGAAAAGAAGUAAGAUCUAAAAUUAAUAAUCUAAUCUUAUACCUUAGAAAAACACAAAAAUAAGAGAAAAGCCCAAAGUAAACACAAAAGUCCAAAGUAAGUGCAAGAAAAGAAACAAUAUGAAAAAGAUCAAAACUGAUAAACUUCUAGUCAGACGAAGGAGAAAAAGAGAAAAGACACAAAUUACUAAUAUCAGAAAUUAGACAGAGGGUGUCACUACAGAUGUCAUUGACAGUAAAAGGAUAAUAAGAGAAUAUUAUUAAUAACUCUAUAACUACAAAUUUUAUAACCUAGUGGAAAUGAACCAAUUCCUGUAAAGACACAAUCUGUCAAAACUCGAAAAAGAAGAAACAGACAAUCUGAAUAGGUCAGAUGGGUUCACUGGUGAAUUCUAUCAAAUACUUAAGAAAGAAAUUAUACCAAUUUUUAACAAUCAUUUUCAAAAGAUAGAAGCAGAGGCAAUACUUCUUAACUUAUUCUAUGGGCCCAGCAUCACCUCAAUACAAAAACCAGACAAAGAUAUUGCAAGUAAACUGUGCACUAACGUGUCUCAUGAGAAUUAGUGCAAAAAUUCUCAACAAAAUAUUAGCAAUUCAAAUCCAACAAUAUAUAAAAAGAAUUAUACACCACAACCAAAUGGGAUUUGUCUCAGGUACGCAAGGCUGAUUCAAUAUUAGAAAAUCAAUUAACUUAAUCCAUCAAAUUAACAGGCUAAAAAAAUAGGCGAUAAUGACAAUAGAGGCAAAAAAUGCAUUUGACAAACUCCAACAUCUCCAACUUUCCUGAUAAAAAUCUUCAGUAAACUAGAAAUGAAAGAGAAUUUUUUUAUCUUCAUAAACAGUAUCUACAAAAAAAUCUACAAAAAAACAUCAACUUAAAGGAGAGAUACUUACUCUCCCACUAAGAUCAGGAAUAAGGCAAGGAUGUCCCCUGUCACCACUCCUU